rnacentral:rRNA from 1 species
AAUUGGUGGUGUAGGGGUAAAAUCCGUAGAUAUCACCAAGAAUACCCAUUGCGAAGGCGAUCUGCUGGAACUCAACUGACGCUAAGGCGCGAAAGCGUGGGGAGCAAACAGGAUUAGAUACCCUGGUAGUCCACGCCCUAAACGAUGUACACUAGUUGUUGGGGUGCUAGUCAUCUCAGUAAUGCAGCUAACGCAUUAAGUGUACCGCCUGGGGAGUACGGUCGCAAGAUUAAAACUCAAAGGAAUAGACGGGGACCCGCACAAGCGGUGGAGCAUGUGGUUUAAUUCGAGGAUACGCGAAGAACCUUACCUGGGCUUGAUAUCCUAAGAACCUUUUAGAGAUAAGAGGGUGCUAGCUUGCUAGAACUUAGAGACAGGUGCUGCACGGCUGUCGUCAGCUCGUGUCGUGAGAUGUUGGGUUAAGUCCCGCAACGAGCGCAACCCACGUAUUUAGUUGCUAACGGUUCGGCCGAGCACUCUAAAUAGACUGCCUUCGUAAGGAGGAGGAAGGUGUGGACGACGUCAAGUCAUCAUGGCCCUUAUGCCCAGGGCGACACACGUGCUACAAUGGCAUAUACAAUGAGACGCAAUACCGCGAGGUGGAGCAAAUCUAUAAAAUAUGUCCCAGUUCGGAUUGUUCUCUGCAACUCGAGAGCAUGAAGCCGGAAUCGCUAGUAAUCGUAGAUCAGCCAUGCUACGGUGAAUACGUUCCCGGGUCUUGUACUCACCGCCCGUCACACCAUGGGAGUUGAUUUCACUCGAAGCCGGAAUACUAAACUAGUUACCGUCCACAGUGGAAUCAGCGACUGGGGUGAAGUCGUAACAAGGUAACCGUAGGAGAACCUGCGGUUGGAUCACCUCCUUU